UGUACUUAAUGUUUUUGUCUCUUUUUUUUUUUUUGGGAAACUGCUUUCUUGAUAGUUUGUUUGAAAUUCGAAACCCAUUUGUCUACCAAUCGGCUCUUUCUGUACCGCAGCACGUCCACGCAAUCAUAGCCGGCAUGCUAGCACUAAAUGGUGCAAUAAUAAAUAGAGAUGUUUUCCCCACCCGGCGGUUGGCGCAAUACCGUUUCCCAGCUGUUCACCCGACACCGAGCCGGUGGGAGAUUAAAGAACACCAACACAGGAUACGCACGUUUAUGGGGCACGGAAAUGCCGAAACCGACCAGCCCGGCCAGCAUCAAAAUGCAAUAAUCUGCGCCCAUCUUCGAUUCGUAUAUGACACCAAAUAUGAUACUCGAAUUGUCGAUUACCAUAAACGGUUGCCCGGUGUAAUAUCCGCCCCGAAAACCGAUCAUCACGCACCAACAAACGCGCCCUCGGGGAUGAUCGUGGAGGGUAGCAAACGCGUUUCCCUGGAAAGAUGAAACCCUCACGACGAUGGUGUGUUGUGUGUGUGUGAAGAAAUAAGAAAAAAGCAUCCGGAAAUGAGCGUCGCACUAAAGAUUAUGACCGUGGAUUAUGACAUGCGAGAAGGUGCAGUAAAAGUGAUUACGGUAAACAUUCCAUCACAAACCAAGGAUAAGAAGAUGAAGCGAAAAGCACAAAGCACAACGAGAAGGUUAACAGCGACAAAAAGGACAAGCGUGGACAUCGGCACAGCGGGGACUGAUCCGUUCGAAAAGAAAGCAAACAUCAGCAAACUGUGUUGUUUGUAUGUAAUUUAAGGUUCCCGUUUUCUUUUUUGGCAACUACCGAUCAAUACAGUAUCGUGUCGACGCAACUGAUCCCCGCUUUGUGCGCAAGUCCCAAGAGAGAUGAACCCGCGUCUUGAAGGUGCGAAACGAAGUCUCGGUGUGUAUUUUGACACCUUUAUUUUCGGUAGGUUGCACCCGGACUCUGGUUGUGUUUGCCUACCCGAGGCCUAGCUACGCUCGAUGAACCUACUGUUGGCGGCAUUCUUUUGUGCGUUUUUUUGGAACUCCUCCACAACAUAAAGCCAGCGUGUUUCGGGUGCGAAGGUUCGACCGGUUCCGGUAGCCUCCGGUGCAACAAAUAAACGCUUCCACUGCCAAGGAGUGGAACGGCGGCCCAACGGCAGCACCCUUGGGAGAGAAGAGAUGAUGCGGCAACGGGCCCCGAACAGCUGGUUGAAGUUUACGGUUGAUUUGGCACAGUUCCAGUUCCAGUUGCUCCCUAUUUUCGAAUUCUUCGACUAAUUAGUACUUCUCGUUGCAGUUACUUCGUGACUUCUGAAAACUCGCCGUUGUCGCGCGGUAUCGAGCGCAGUAAAUCUUCUCCGCCGGGUUUGUUGUCGUGGUUACAAAGCAUACGAGGCACGCGGGGAGAUGCAGUCAAGCGACAUACUCCAGAGGACAUUAAUGCUGUGGAUAGUGGCUGCGGUUUGUGACGAGCCUUCAAAACAACUCUCCAGCAGCUAUUCGGAGUUCCAGGGGACCCAAGCUCCUCUAUACUUUUUUUUUUUGGGUUGAUCACAACCUCACCCUUUAAGCAAGAUGUAGUCCAACGCGAUAGCGAGUGCGACCUCUCGGCAACUCGGCGCACUGCAGCAGUUUUGUCAACAGCUCGACGAAACAAUGUCACUCCCAGUUUCUUUCUCACUCCCGCACACACCGAAAAUGGAUUGAAUUUCUAACGACGAAGAUGUGCGCUGCUGUUUUGCUUUCUUCGCAUAUGCAAACAAAUCAUCCAUUUCGUCCGGGGGCACACUGACAGUAAGAGAAUGAGAGGAGACCUCUUCGACGUGUUAACAGUUAUGACAUCAUCUCAUAAGGUCCCCAUUUUGAAGUCCACCAACUCCACGGUGUGGCGUAGUGCUGGGAAACCGUAACGCUGGCGGGUGCGAAUGAAGCGAAGCAAAUUAGUCUAAUGAUGCGUGAUAUAUCCGAAAGUCCAUUCUCCUCCGAUCCCCACCGGUGAAGCUAUUUUCAACUCCCAAAGACUCCUCCCAAUGCGGGAGGAUGCAUUCUGUGAUGGGCCGAGAUUUAUGCGCUUGCAAGAAGUUUGCACACACCAACCCCGUACUUUAAAGGUGAGGUUCAUCUUCUCUUGUGGUGUACGGCCCUAACAGGCCCCAUAAUUAAUGGUGACAACACUGCUUUGCCGUGCGAUUAUUUAUAGCGAGUUUGUUGCCGGAGUCGUCCUUCACGCUCAUUUCUGCGCUUCUUUUCCACUGCCUGGCCCCGGAUCUGCACUUGAUGGAGUUUAAAUAGCUUAUUAAAUGCAUUCGCAGCAUGCACUACACCGCAAAGAAUGCAAACCCACACCCAGCGGUGGGUGCGUGUCAACUUACCGCUUCUCGACACCUCGCGCACACUUUCCCGCACUCCAAAACCUUCUGCAACCGAGCAGAGGCAACAAAUAGCGAAUGGGCACGCAAUUGAUACACACCGUUUAAAGUGUGCUACUGCUUCAUUAUGCGCUGCUCACCUUUCUCGUGCACAGGACAGUGUCUCAAGGUAUUAUCCCUGGCCUGGUGGUAACCUGCGGUAAAAAGAUUAAGAACAGCACAAGAGCACAGCGCAGUACGAAAGGCUUAUCUCCCGCACAACAACAGCUUCUUUCGCUCCGUUUUGCGCCGCUUUGCGCCUCAUUGCAGAGGAAUCACCGACGCUUUAUUAUGUUGUCACUUUGCAGUAGUAAAUAAAAUAAAUAUAUGGCCUCGCGCUUUGUUUGCUGCUGGUCCUUCGAGCCGGA